ensembl:lncRNA
CCUUAGCGGCCCCUUAGGCCAGUUAAGUCGGGCCGCCAACUCGCUUCACUCCCCGGCCCGGUCCCGCUCCCAGGCCCGACUCCAGCGCCGCCGCCCCUUCGCAGCACAAAAGUCCCGCAACGUCAAACUUAACGCGGGGCCGGCGAAGAAACGCCUUCCUAGGUCACAAUGUAAACACGCGUUUUCCGCUAAGGCGGGAAGGGCAGCGGCGGCGGCGGCGAGCGCUGUUCCCUACUCUCAGAUAAGUUCAUGUGAGGGAAGCUGGAGAGGGACUCGGACUCUGGCCGUCCAGCCUGGCCGCUGGAGCUCGGGGACAACCGAGCAUCACAGAACUCUUGUAGGAUUCUCUGAAGAAUAUGGUAAGGGUAUCCCAGGAAGACAAAAACAGCUGUGAUCUCCUGCACCCCAUUAUUUGUGUAUAUGUUUGAAAUAUCUGCAACCUGUGUUUUAGGAUUAAAAAAUGUUCCCAAGGCAGCUCUGGACAUAGGUGAGCAAACGGCAGUGAAAUCUUUUCAAAUCCUUAAAAAUGCUAAAAGUGAAAUUAUAUACUGUUGCUCUCAAUGAUGCCACAAACUUUUUUUAGUUGCAUGUGCGACUACACAUCCGAUAAUUAAAUCACAGCUAAAACUACAUUGGAUAAGCUCAGUAAGAUUCUUUAGGAGAAAGCAAACAUUUUUAAAAGUGUGUCUUUGGGUCCUGCCCAAAGGUGUACAAAGUUGGGUCCCAACAGUCAACAAUACUACCUGGCACAGAGUUAUACUUACAAUUCAUUUCAUAGCUUGAAGUACAAAUCAAAAGAUCAUGACCACUAGUCUCAUCGUUUUCACAGGUUGGCAGAUCAGUAGGUCUUCAGAAGUUGACUUCUGAACAUGGUCAAGCAAAUACAGGGGAUAAUGACUACAGAGAUCUAUUUGUCUCAGAACAUUAAUUAUAACACGCCAUAAUGUUAGCUGGCUGGAUAGAUGGCUGGAUAGAUACAUCAGUGGUUUAGGUAUCUCACUGCAGAGCCAGAGGUUGGCAGUUCAAUUCUCCAUUGGACCUCCUAAGAGAAAAGCCAGUAUGGCCUUUGGCAAGCUGCACAGUCCCAGGGCACCACUAGAAGAAGGGAAUGGCAAACCACUUCUGAGUAUUCUUUACCUGGAAAAGGUUACCAUAAUUCAGAAUUGACUUGAUGGCACAUCAUUAUUUUAUUCAUUUUCAUAAUGAUAACCUAAGUUUAAAAAAACCUAGAGAAGUGUAAAGAAUACCUCAUAUGAUGUAGUGCAUAGAGUGAUGUUCUUUACUCUGCCAUGGAAACUCUCUAAAAGGACGAUACUGAUAAAAUCACUCCCUGAACAGCUCCCUAUUAGGGUCAUUAUAAGAUGUUUCCAAUUUGCAUUGGAAAAUUUUGGUUAUUCCUUUUUUAGUUAGCAGAGUAAGAGGGAUCAGCCCAGUUUCAUCACACAUCCCUUUCAUUUCCCCCCAUAAACUAGCACUUUGCUGUUUUAAAUGCCAGAAGCAUUUAAGGGAUAAAAAAAGGUUUCUUUACUAACAGUUACAAUCAAUAGUUACAAUCAGAAGAAUAAAAGAAAAAAUGAGGUGUCA